rnacentral:tRNA from 1 species
GCCCGGGUGGUGGAAUUGGCAGACACGGGGGGCUUAAACCCCCCUCUUCUUCGGGAGGUGCGGGUUCGAUCCCCGCCCCGGGCA